rnacentral:rRNA from 1 species
GACGAACGCUGGCGGCGUGCUUAACACAUGCAAGUCGAACGAUGAAGCGGUGCUUGCACCGUGGAUUAGUGGCGAACGGGUGAGGAAUACGUGAGUGACCUACCUUUGACUCUGGGAUAAGCCUGGGAAACUGGGUCUAAUACCGGAUACGACCAAUCUCUGCAUGGGGUGUUGGUGGAAAGCGUUAUGGAGUGGUUUUAGAUGGGCUCACGGCCUAUCAGCUUGUUGGUGAGGUAAUGGCUUACCAAGGCGACGACGGGUAGCCGGCCUGAGAGGGUGACCGGCCACACUGGGACUGAGACACGGCCCAGACUCCUACGGGAGGCAGCAGUGGGGAAUAUUGCACAAUGGGCGCAAGCCUGAUGCAGCGACGCCGCGUGAGGGAUGACGGCCUUCGGGUUGUAAACCUCUGUUAGCAUCGAAGAAGCGAAAGUGACGGUAGGUGCAGAGAAAGCGCCGGCUAACUACGUG